AAACCUACAUGGCCACUGCUUCAAAUUUGUUCCAGAUGGAUUUAGUCAUAGAAUGAUUGAUUAUCCACUCAGUUGCGAGCUAUGUGGUUAAGCUCAGAAAUCUACAACAAACUGAUCUGGAGCUGUGUUUCACGAUGGAGUGCCAAGGCCAAGGGUCAGGCAGGCUCACAGAUGGACCUUUGGAACUAAUCCAGAUUCAGAGCAACACUGAACCCAUCCAUCCAGAGCCAAAGGCAGGUCUGGACAUUCAUGGAUGGAAUUUACCUAAGGUGAGGCUCACCUGUGGAAGUGACAGUGGCAGGCCCCAGCAAAUGGGAAUCCCAGGCAGAAUUCAAACACUGCCUCUGAGCAACAGUGACUCUCCAUGGCAAGUGGCAGAUGCAUUAGUUCAGGAAGCUGGCUUGUCCUGUGGUCGUCAAGUAUCAGGAAGAACUCAGUACACCUUUGUUGGCUGGUUGAUUUUGCAAGUCCUUGGAUGUUCCUUUUUUUAGCUUUAAGUGAUAUAUAGAAAAGUAUACUCUUCCACUUAGAGUUAAUACAGAUGAUGGAAGAAGGAAUUGUAUGUAUAGCAGCUAAUAUGGAUCUACACUUGUCACGUAAGUGCUCCAUGAAUGUGACUUUUCUUCUCUCCUCAGGUGAGUGGUGGCCCAUCUACCUGCCAAGGGACAACUGUGCUAGAAUGGGUAGGAAUUAAAACUGGAGUCAGUGGUUUCUCACCUUGGCCUGUGGUCCUCUGUAGGCAGGCAGGGUUAGGAGAGGGGUGGAGGAAAGGUUUGCAGAGUUAUCUGCAAAAGAUUUAAAUUUUAUAUGUGCAUCAAACAUUGCAUAUAGAUGAAUUAAACACAAUCUCUUGCACAUAGUUCCUUCUCACUCUCAAAUAUCUAUUUGCACACUAUUGUGGUAAACAUAUACAUGUUUAUCUAUAAUCACUACAAAAUGAAUUGUAGUUUUUUGCCAUCCUUUGUUUUCUCAGCUGCUAUCAAGUGAUGUCUAAGAAAUGUUUUGAAUAGAAAAGGUUUUUUCCUCCUGUUGAAAAACAGUGGGAACUGCCGUUCUAUAGCAUUGCUUAAGGUAAGGCUUCCCAGGUGUAGUCCUAAGACCUGUCGUACCUGUUUAAAGUGCAGUUGCCCAGCUCCACCCCUCACAGUCUGGAUUAGAAUCUCCCAGGCUAGGAACUGGAAAUCUGCUUUCUAACAAAUGUCCUGAUGUCAAUUUUCCCAUGCAUUGAGAACGCCGGGCUUAAGAUAGUCGGAAAAUACGUUGACAGAAUCAGGAAUCAGGUUCAGGAGGUUAAAGCUUUGUUUCUUCAAGUUUUACCUGAAGAUGGAAUAUUAUUUCUUUCUCGUUUAAAUCCUUGCAUACUAUCCAAAAACUGGCUAGAAUAUCAAUCAUGUCAGAUAGUCUAAUGACAAUUUUAAAGCACCGUAUCCCUGCUGGAACUCUAAAACCGAAGACAGAUGGUUUUGGAUCAUCUACAGAUGAGGCUUAGUCACACAACUAUUUGCCUUCAUCGGUGUGCACUGAAAUACAAUGUGAAUUAAAUUACAGUGGGCAGGGGAGCUGGACUACAGAUCUGAAAUCAUUAGCAGCUCCUGAGAGCAUCCACCUGAGUUGUGUGUAUUUAAAUAUAAUCUUCAAUACAAUUAAGAAACAUUUACCACCAUCUGUGUUGUCAUAGCAAAGUGCAGGGGCAGCAAAUAUCUGGUCUACGUUUUGACAUCCUCCCCACCCCCACCAGUUUGCAUGGCAGCUAGACGUUUCUAAUCAAUUCUAGCAAUCCUUCCCCUUAAGUCAGGAUAUUUAUGCCUCAGAAUGCUUUUCCCCAGGCAGCUGUUAGCAGAUGGGAUGAUGGAGGAUGAAACCUAUUUGCUACGUCUGGGAUGGUGAAGGGCAUGGGCUUUGCAGUCGUGGGUUUAGGGGGUUCAAAUCCCAGUUUUGCCACUCACAGGUUGUGAGACAGAGCAAGAUACUUACAAAAUUUAGGUACUCUUGCAGCCUCAUUCUCCUUAUUUGCACAAGUGGGAUUACAGCCCCAUUUCACAGGAUUAUUGUGAAGGUGACAGAAAGAAUACAUGUAAAUUGCUUAGUAUUCCUAGCACAUAGCGAGUACUCAAUAAAUUUUAGUUUUUGUUAUUUUUAAUCUAGCUUGAAAUGAUGUGAUGGGCGCAAGGAGAAAGGGACUCAUUUUGCAGGACUGCUUGAGUUCUAUAAAGCAGGUGUGGAAGAUUUUAUUAGCAGAGUGCUUCCUUACUGCAACCCUCUCUCUGGGAUUAUGGCCCACAUUUACUGAGGGCUUAACAAUUACAGAAACUGUUCUAAGUACUUUUUGAGGAGUAACUAAUUUAAUCCUCACAAGAACCCAGUGAAGUAGAUGUUCUUAUCCCCAGUUUAUAGAGGCAGCACCUGAGGCAUAAAGAGGUUAAGCAGCUCAUAAGGGACGUGCCGUUUGAAAUGGGGACUCCGGCCAGCAGCCGCACUUGGAACUUGUGAAAAGGCAGAUUCUCAGGCCCUGCCCCUGACUCCCUGCAUCAGAACUCUGUGGGUGGGCCCAGAAAUCUUUGUUUGAACAAGCCCUCCAGGCGAUUCUGAGGCACAUCAAGCUUUCAGAACCACAAUCCAGAAGGCAAAGGAGCAUUGGCAGGACAAGAAGUCCAUCAGGAGUGAGGUGAGCGGAUGAAGAAGCAUGUCGCCAUUAAGGAAGGGUGAGUGUCUUUUCAGAACUUUGAUUCCUAGCUGUACCUUCCAGUAUUCAUCUGGGAAUUCUGUGUGUUUUUUCCUGUUUAUGAGGAAAAUUGGUUUAUUUGUUCUAUUGUUUGUUUUGUUUUUUUUUUUACUUUGUGUUACAAGUUCCACUAGAACAAAUAAGAAACCCCUUGUCUGUCUAGCACCUGCCAGAGAAGUAACCCUCAUCAGUGGAGGGAGGGGAUCAAAUGCCUAGCAUGGUGGAAACUUACCAGCUCCCAAGGUCUGGGCAGUGGAUCUGAAACUUCAGAGUCCCUGCGAAUCAGCUGGAACCUUUGUUAAAAUGAAGAUUCUCAGGUCCUGCUCUCCCCUAUUCUGAUUCAGUAGGUCUGAGGUAGAGCCCAGGAAUCUGCAUUUUAAUAAGCAUCUAGUCCAUAUGCCUCACCUUGAGAAAUAGAAGUUUGCUGGUGGUAACAGGGGUGUCAGACCAUGUCAUAUCCAGCCUUUGGAUGACAUAGGAGUUGGGGUGGGAGUAGUGAACCAAUGUCCAGACUAGGAGAGUGAGACAGUAGUACAGGAGCCAGGGCAACAAGGUAGCAAUCUAUAUCCUCACACUGUUCCUCCCCUCCUCUAUCCCUUUCCCACUGCCUUCUCUUCCAAAAGGUGUUUCUGAAGGUUCUCUGAGAAGGACAAUUUAUUAUACAUAAAACAGCUUUCAGCAAAGCUCAGCCAGUCGUGAGGAGGGGAUCUGGAGGGCUCCAAGCUGACCUCUCCUCCACUUCACCCCUUGAGGAAGCUCGUGAGGUAGGGCCAUAGACACUUUAAACUUCCCUCAGGAUUAGUUUGAAAAUAGCCUUAAUCUAACCCCCAUUUUACUGAUGAAGAAACUGAGGCCUAGAGAGGUGAAGAGACUUGUGUAAGGCUGGCUGGAGGCAUCACUAGAUGAUUACCCUCAUCUACUCAUUCUCAGGCCACUGAGAUUUCCAAGCUAUGUUCAUUAGAACAUCAGUGUCCAAUAUGAGGUCCAUAGGUGUUCUGGAGAACAUAGGGGUGAGCUGGGGCCUUAUAAGCAAGUGCAAAACACUGGAUGCAGCCCAUCUAAGCAGGUUUCCUUAUGGGAGGAUUUCACAGAUGCUUGUAUAUUCUGAUGCGAAUUGUGAAUCUCCAAUAAAGGUUAUGGAGGCAGACUUUUCCAAACUCAUUUAAUAACAGACGCUCCCCUCACCCCUUGUAACAUAUUAUCAAGCCUCUCAAAGGACACUAUUGUUGUAAAGAAAACUGUUUGGUGAUAGUUGUAAUACUCGGUGCUGCCCUGAGAAAAGCUGGAGAGAGUCCACAGUCACUAAAGAUCAGAGUCUUAGGAGGUUACGAAUUCACACAGACUUGCUCUGGACUAGCCACCUGUGAACUGCCAUACGUGAGCUCCAGGUGGAUCUGUGUGACCUGUUCCUAUGAGAGGGAAGCCACAGAAGGUCAGGAAAAGCUGUAAGCUGGCUGACGCAGUGGCUGCAGAAUGGGUGUCCGCCCUACCCCCCUUUGGAUGCAAAAGUUCAGCGCUCAGAAUUGCUCAGCUAGAAGGACGACAGUGCUGAGUGUGUCAGGGAGGCAAUGCCAGCUCAGUGUUCAGCUGAAGACAUGAGGAAGGGCUGCUAUGGUCAAGGCUCAAGCCAGGGGCAGGCAGGAUGGGAGAAAUCCCCUGCUGCCUGCCCCUGGAGAAGACCUAUUAACAGGAAAGUCGACAGAGCCAAGAAGUGCUGGGCCAUCAGUCACGGUGUGGCCCCCACUUCAGGAGACGGCCGGUCAAGGGGAAAUUAUGCUGGCAGCUUUGUCUUCUUUUCUGACCUUUUUUUUUUUUUUUUUUUUUUGGGUUUUUGGGCCUCCCCCUUUUUUGGCCUUCCCCAUUGCGGGGCCCGGGCUCUGGACACGCAGGCUCAGCGGCCAUGGCUCACGGGCCCAGCC